rnacentral:rRNA from 1 species
GACGUAGGGCGCAAGCGUUGUCCGGAUUUAUUGGGCGUAAAGAGCUCGUAGGCGGCUUGCCACGUCUGCCGUGAAAACCAGCAGCUUAACUGUUGGCUUGCGGUUGAUACGGGUUGGCUGGAGUUCGGUAGGGGAGACUGGAAUUCCUGGUGUAGCGGUGAAAUGCGCAGAUAUCAGGAGGAACACCUAUUGCGAAGGCAGCUCGCUGGGACGUAACUGACGCUGAGACGCGAAAGCGUGGGGAGCAAACAGG